UGCUGCUAAUAUGCACAUGUGUGCAAAACCUCCGUUUGUAUACGGAUUUAUGUCAAAAUUUGUUUCCAUGUUUCGUUUAUAUUGUCAUAUAAAACCGCUAACUUA